UAGUUUUUUGUUUUUUCUUUUGAGAUCACGAAUUUGUUUUUGAUUUUGGUACGAUUUAUGGUAAGUUUAACAAUAGGCUCCCCAGUCCCCUGCGUUGCUUCUUAUUUCUUAAUUGUUAUUUCUGCCCGAUAUGGAUGUUUGAUUUUUUUUUUACAGUUUUACUUGUUUAUUUAAGAUGUAUUUGGUGUAUUCCAUUUUGUUAUGUUUACUUUUUGUUUGUAAUGGAUAUUAUGGUUGAUCUAAUAUAAACAUGAUUUUCUAUUAUAGGAUUUUUAAUUUUUAAUACGAUAUAUAUAUAUAUAUAUAAUAUUUUUUAUUUUUUAAUAAUCGUCGUAUCCUAGCCGUAUCGUGUCCUAUAUUUUUAAAAUUUUUCGUAUCCCCGUAUCCGUGUCGUAUCCAAUACGAUACCCGUAUCCGUAUCCGUAUCCGUGCAACACUGAUCGAGAGGUGAUUGGUUCAACCUCAGUCCAGCAGCAACAAUGAAAGUACUACUGACUAACCAUUUUCCCCCAAUGAGUGGAAGAGAUAAGCAAUUUUCAUAUCUAUUUGCGGAGGGAAGAAAAGUUGUGCGAUCUUACCAAGAAUGCCUAAUCCUCCAGACUCUAGAGGCAAGCACACCUGAUCCCAAGAAGCAAAGAACUAAAUUGAAGUGAUCUGAGAAUUGACCACAUCGCCAGAGGAAAGUUUUUCUUUAAUUGAUCAAGAUUGUGAAUGAACAAGUAAGAAGAAGAUGCAAUGAAGUCUGAUAGAGCACUAUUGAGACAGGAGAUUUGUUGUGAAUGUACGAGCAACCAAUGAGCGUCAGCAAGCUAGUUUCCCAAUCACGGAUUCCUCUUAAGAUAAGUGAAAGAAGAAUUACAAAGAUUAAUUUUCUUAACUGCUGGAGGUGGAGAAGGCCAAAAGCAUAAUUCAAAGGUUGUGAUUAUUCAAACCAUGGCCCUUGAGAGCAAUGUAUCAUGAGUAAAUUGAGGUAUUUGGCAUCCUAAGGAAUAACCAUCCCAUGACUCUUUGCCCAUGGAAAAACCAGCCUCUUGGCUCUUUGCCAGUAUCUACCGAAGAGCAACUGUAGAAUGUUUUCAAUUUUAGUCUUAAAUCCUUUUGUUUCUUAAUUCUUUACAAUUCAAAUUUCUUGUUUAAUCUAUUUACACUCAUAUCAAUCAGCACAAUAUCAUUAAUCUUUUGGACCAUUGGUGAGUUCAUCUAGUGAUGCAUAAAAGGAUAGGGAUUUAGAGCUUACCUUUAAUGUAAACAUUUCGUUAUAGGAAUUAGGAAGAUUAUUUAUCACACUUUCCAUAGCUUUAACUUCAGUGACUACAUUAUCAUACAUGUCCUUUGCCUCAUUAAUAUGAUUAGCCCCAAAAUUAUCAAACUCCAUUUACAUAAGUUCUUCAAUUAUUAAUAUUAGAAAACAGUUGGUAAACCAUUCAUUUGAUUGAUUUAUCCUGAAAUGGCUACCUGAUCUAUUGCUGCUCUAAAUCCACAUCAGAGAAUGGAUGGAAGUAUCAAUUAAAUUCAUUCAGACAAGUCAUAAUGGUUGAAUUGGUUUAAACAUAUGUUUUUUUCAUGUGAUUCUAGGAGAAAAAAACAAAGGAAAAAGAUUAUAUGAAGAACAUGGAAAAGUCUCCAUCCAUGUGUAAUAUUACUCUGCAAUAAUCCUUUGAUACGUAUGCGUAGAAUGUAGACCAGAAUAUUAUUUACUCUAAUUUUACAGUAUGUGUCUAGAAAUUUGUGAUUUCUGGUGACUGCAAUAUUUGCAAAAUACCUGGUUCAUGUAGGAUUAUCUUGACUCAAGGUGAAGCUUUACCAAAUCUAGAAAUGACUUGACGUUAAUGCUUGUUUUUUUUUUUCAACAGCAAUAGAUCAAAACCAGAUGAUUUGUCAUGUAAAAAAAUAAAAAUAAA